rnacentral:rRNA from 1 species
UACAGAGGUGGCAAGCGUUGUUCGGAAUUACUGGGCGUAAAGGGCGCGUAGGCGGCUUGGUCAGUCCCGUGUGAAAUCCCUCGGCUCAACUGAGGAACUGCACGGGAAACUGCCUGGCUUGAGUUCGGGAGAGGGAAGCGGAAUUCCGGGUGUAGCGGUGAAAUGCGUAGAUAUCCGGAGGAACACCGGUGGCGAAGGCGGCCUUCUGGACGGUGACUGACGCUGAGACGCGAAAGCGUGGGGAGCAAACAGG